ensembl:lncRNA
GUGAGAGCAUGCUAUGCAACAAAAGAAGCACAGUUAAAGGUUGAAAAAGCUCAAAGCGAACUGGAAAAGGCAAAAAUAGAUGCAGAAUUAGAAGUGUUAACAUUACAGAGGGAAGCUGAUGCUGCUGUAGCUGAAGCUAUACAAGAAGAACCUGAGAGUAGAAAAUCUCCAUCAGAAAGCGUAAAAUUAGAACGUACAAAUGAAUAUGUACGAUCUCAAAUGGACACCAAGCUAUCUCCCAGUCCACAAAAAUUACCAACCACUUCUUGCCCCCAAGCAAGUUCACCGAACACAUUUGUAACGUGGCAUCCCUCUGAAGAAGGCAAUUUAGAGCCACAACCCAUCAACUCUGAAACAAGACUUACCAAAGAUAAUAUCGCUGCUCUAAAUAAGCCCAGCCAGCUGAAAGGUGAAACAAAACCUAAAGUGGAGAAACAAAAUAUCCCUCUCAACCCAUGCGGCUCACCAUUCAUACCUCAGCAUAACUAUAACACCACGGCCAGCAUUUUAAAUCCAGCAGAACCCUUUGCCCAAUACAUGGCACGUCGAGAUUUAAUAAUCUCAGGCCUUUACCAGUUCGACGAUAGGCCAGAGAACUACAGAGCAUGGUGCUCUUCAUUUACCAGUGCGACAGCUGAAGUCCAACUCACCCCCAUUCAAGAGCUAGAUCUCAUGACAAAGUGGUUAGGGAGAGAGUCGAGUGAUCAGGUGAAACGCAUACGUUCAGUAUAUGUCAACAACCCCACAUUAGCUCUAUGCAAAGCAUGGGAAAGACUGAAUGAAUGUUAUGCAGCAUCAGAAAUAAUCGAAAGGUCACUUUUCCAACGGUUGGACAGUUUCCCCAAAAUAACAGUCAAAGAUCAUGUCAAGCUACGUGAACUAGGAGAUUUACUGCAAGAGAUUCAAGGCGCUAAGGAAGACGGCCAUCUGCCUGGUCUACUCUAUCUGGACACUUCUCGUGGAAUCAGCCCAAUCGUAGACAAACUCCCAUAUGGACUUCAGGAGAGGUGGAUGUCACACGGCUCUCAAUAUAAAGAGAACAACCAAGGCUGUUUCCCACCUUUUGAGUACUUCUGUGAAUUCAUAUGUAAAGAGGCAAAGAAACGCAAUGAUCCAAGUUUCCAACAGCAAAACUUAAAACCAGAAAAAUCUUUUGCAAAAAACUUAAAUUCCAGCAAGCCAAUUACUGUACACAAAACCUAUAUUUCUCCCCCUAACAAGGACUUUAACCGGAACUGCCCACUGCAUAACAAGCCACACCCGCUCAAAAGAUGCAGAACAUUUAGGAAUAAAGCACUGGACGAAAGGAAGGCCUUCCUCAAAGAGAAAGGAUUAUGCUUCAGAUGCUGUUCUUCAGAUACUCAUCUUGCGAAGGAAUGCAAAUCUUCAGUAAAGUGUUCUGAAUGUGACAGCACAAGUCACGACGCAGUCAUGCAUCCCGGUCCUCCACCACAGACCAACAAGGCUCCACCUCCGGCACAAGAGAAUGGCGGGGAGAGAGAAAACAGUCAUGACACGGUUGAUGUCACAACAAGCUGCACAGACGUGUGCGGUUCAGUUAAAAGGAAAAUAUCGCUAAAAUGUAUUUCCUGUUCUGGCGGGGCACUUCCGGUUCCGGUCGAGCACUUCCGGUUUUGGUCAAGCGCUAGGUUUUGCUGAGAAACAGGCUCCUCAUGCUAAAGGCAGUAUGGAGAUGUAAUCUAAUGCCAUCUACUCCGAAUUAUCAGGCCGGAACGCCUUUUCACCACAUGUUCAUGGAGACAAUUAAACAAGCUGCAACUAAACUCCAGGGUCUUCAUUUGUGGUUUAACUCGGUGUCACCAACAUCCUCGUUGAAAACACUACAGACUCUAUGUGGGGAUGUGACUCUAAAGCAGGUGUCAUUUUAAUAACAUGUGUUAGAAUGCAUGCAAAAAGACAAGACAGUGCUAAAGCGGCUGUGAUCAGAUGUGAGUCCUAGUGGCUAAUGGCUAAUGCUUCUUUAUGAAGUAGAGGUGUCUGAGGAGGAUGCUUGCCUUAUGAAGCUCUCUUAUAUGAAGACCACACCAUCUUUGUGCUGUGUGGCUCAGACGACCGGGCCAUAGACCUCACUAGGUGUUAGCAGCCUGGAUUUCUGUUUAUUAUAUUUGGAAAUAAGAGCUUCAUUUUGAUUUAAUGUGAUUCCCCAUAUAUUUCAUAAAGCCUGAUGUGCUGGUGGAGUUUUGUUGGACGUGGAGAAAUACACAGGGCUGAUAUGCAGGGAAUCAUUUUCAAAAGUAGAUAUUGCCAGGUCAGUUGAUGUUGUCGAAAUUUGUUCCAGAAGCUUGUUCUCCAGGAGAUUUGGUAGCUUUAAUGCGUUCAAUGAUAUAUGAUUUACAGAGGUUUUAAGAAGCCUAUGUCAAAAAAUCUCUAGAAUACUGUGAGAAUGACUAUGCCACUUCUCAUAAGCGCUAUAUGAUUCUUCCCCGGAAUAUAAUAUGUUAAUCUUUUAUUCAUAAAGUUUUGUUUUUUGAAUAAGGAGAGCAAUGCACAUC